GGGCCUGUAGCUCAAUUUGGUUAGAGCCAGCGGCUCAUAACCGCUUGGUUGGGGGUUCGAGUCCCUCCGGGCCCA
rnacentral:tRNA from 1 species